rnacentral:rRNA from 1 species
GAGCAGAAUUGGGAUGCCGUAUACUGUCACGUCGAGCGGGAUUAAGUACAAGCUUGCUUCUACAUAAUCUAGCGGCGGACUUUUUAGUAACACGUAGGCAACCUGCCCACAAGACAGGGAUAACUACCGGAAACGGUAGCUAAUACCCGAUACAUCCUUUUCCUGCAUGGGAGAAGGAGGAAAGGCGGAGCAAUCUGUCACUUGUGGAUGGGCCUGCGGCGCAUUAGCUAGUUGGUGGGGUAAUGGCCUACCAAGGCGACGAUGCGUAGCCGACCUGAGAGGGUGAUCGGCCACACUGGGACUGAGACACGGCCCAGACUCCUACGGGAGGCAGCAGUAGGGAAUCUUCCGCAAUGGGCGAAAGCCUGACGGAGCAACGCCGCGUGAGUGAUGAAGGUUUUCGGAUCGUAAAGCUCUGUUGCCAGGGAAGAACGUCUUGUAGAGUAACUGCUACAAGAGUGACGGUACCUGAGAAGAAAGCCCCGGCUAACUACGUGCCAGCAGCCGCGGUAAUACGUACGGGGCAAGCGUUGUCCGGAAUUAUUGGGCGUAAAGCGCGCGCAGGCGGCUCUUUAAGUCUGGUGUUUAAUCCCGAGGCUCAACUUCGGGUCCCACUGGAAACUGGAGAGCUUGAGUGCAGAACAGGAAAGUGCAAUUCCAAAUGUAGCG